UUAAAUACCAAAAACUAUCUUCUUCUUCCUAUUUUUCUAAGAAAAACCGUCCACCAUGGGAGAGGAAAAAGCGUGAGGUUCUCAAAUAAGUCUCACCCCGAUUUUUUGUCAAACCGUCGAUUUAAUCGUGUAAACGUUAUGAAAUCAACUACACCCAAAUGUAGCAAAUGAAAGGAAAAAGGAUCGGCGAAAGAAGAAAUGUCGAAUGGAAAGGUUUGGAAAUAACGUCAUCCAGGUUAAUUGGAUCGGGGAUUCCUUUGAAUAUUUCUUUCGUUUCUUUGCCAGCACUGCAUCCUCGGUGGGUCACUGGUCACUGCUUGCGGCGUUUGUGUCCAUUUCUGUUAGAUGUGGCAUGUAUAGUAUUUGAAUAUUUGUAAUAGAUUCCGUUGUGUUUGUAAAUAGUGUUGGAACUUUUGCUAAUAGUUUAAUGAAUUAAGUUUGGUUUUUAA